rnacentral:rRNA from 1 species
CUAACACAUGCAAGUCGAGGGGCAGCGAAGAGGUAGCAAUACCUUUGUCGGCGACCGGCGCACGGGUGAGUAACACGUAUGCAAUCCACCUGUAACAGGGGGAUAACCCGGAGAAAUCCGGACUAAUACCCCAUAAUAUGGGCGCUCCGCAUGGAGAGCCCAUUAAAGAGAGCAAUUUUGGUUACAGACGAGCAUGCGCUCCAUUAGCCAGUUGGCGGGGUAACGGCCCACCAAAGCGACGAUGGAUAGGGGUUCUGAGAGGAAGGUCCCCCACAUUGGAACUGAGACACGGUCCAAACUCCUACGGGAGGCAGCAGUGAGGAAUAUUGGUCAAUGGUCGGCAGACUGAACCAGCCAAGUCGCGUGAGGGAAGACGGCCCUACGGGUUGUAAACCUCUUUUGUCGGAGAGUAAAGUACGCUACGUGUAGUGUAUUGCAAGUAUCCGAAGAAAAAGCAUCGGCUAACUCCGUGCCAGCAGCCGCGGUAAUACGGAGGAUGCAAGCGUUAUCCGGAUUUAUUGGGUUUAAAGGGUGCGUAGGCGGCACGCCAAGUCAGCGGUGAAAUUUCCGGGCUCAACCCGGAGUGUGCCGUUGAAACUGGCGAGCUAGAGUACACAAGAGGCAGGCGGAAUGCGUGGUGUAGCGGUGAAAUGCAUAGAUAUCACGCAG